rnacentral:rRNA from 1 species
AGGCUUAACACAUGCAAGUCGAGGGGCAGCAUGGUCUUAGCUUGCUAAGACUGAUGGCGACCGGCGCACGGGUGAGUAACACGUAUCCAACCUGCCGUCUACUCUUGGACAGCCUUCUGAAAGGAAGAUUAAUACAAGAUGGCAUCAUGAGUCCGCAUGUUCACAUGAUUAAAGGUAUUCCGGUAGACGAUGGGGAUGCGUUCCAUUAGAUAGUAGGCGGGGUAACGGCCCACCUAGUCUUCGAUGGAUAGGGGUUCUGAGAGGAAGGUCCCCCACAUUGGAACUGAGACACGGUCCAAACUCCUACGGGAGGCAGCAGUGAGGAAUAUUGGUCAAUGGGCGAGAGCCUGAACCAGCCAAGUAGCGUGAAGGAUGACUGCCCUAUGGGUUGUAAACUUCUUUUAUAAAGGAAUAAAGUCGGGUAUGCAUACCCGUUUGCAUGUACUUUAUGAAUAAGGAUCGGCUAACUCCGUGCCAGCAGCCGCGGUAAUACGGAGGAUCCGAGCGUUAUCCGGAUUUAUUGGGUUAAAAGGGAGCGUAGAUGGAUGUUUAAGUCAGUUGUGAAAGUUUGCGGCUCAACCGUAAAAUUGCAGUUGAUACUGGAUAUCUUGAGUGCAGUUGAGGCAGGCGGAAUUCGUGGUGUAGCGGUGAAAUGCUUAGAUAUCACGAAGAACUCCGAUUGCGAAGGCAGCCUGCUAAGCUGCAACUGACAUUGAGGCUCGAAAGUGUGGGUAUCAAACAGGAUUAGAUACCCUGGUAGUCCACACGGUAAACGAUGAAUACUCGCUGUUUGCGAUAUACGGCAAGCGGCCAAGCGAAAGCGUUAAGUAUUCCACCUGGGGAGUACGCCGGCAACGGUGAAACUCAAAGGAAUUGACGGGGGCCCGCACAAGCGGAGGAACAUGUGGUUUAAUUCGAUGAUACGCGAGGAACCUUACCCGGGCUUAAAUUGCAGAUGAAUUACGGUGAAAGCCGUAAGCCGCAAGGCAUCUGUGAAGGUGCUGCAUGGUUGUCGUCAGCUCGUGCCGUGAGGUGUCGGCUUAAGUGCCAUAACGAGCGCAACCCUUGUUGUCAGUUACUAACAGGUUCCGCUGAGGACUCUGACAAGACUGCCAUCGUAAGAUGUGAGGAAGGUGGGGAUGACGUCAAAUCAGCACGGCCCUUACGUCCGGGGCUACACACGUGUUACAAUGGGGGGUACAGAGGGCCGCUACCACGCGAGUGGAUGCCAAUCCCAAAAACCUCUCUCAGUUCGGACUGGAGUCUGCAACCCGACUCCACGAAGCUGGAUUCGCUAGUAAUCGCGCAUCAGCCACGGCGCGGUGAAUACGUUCCCGGGCCUUGUACACACCGCCCGUCAAGCCAUGGGAGCCGGGGGUACCUGAAGUGCGUAACCGCGAGGAGCGCCCUAGGGUAAAACUGGUGACUGGGGCUAAGUCAUAA